ACUCUGCUGCACCGACACCAACACCCAUAAACUUUCUCUCUAGAGCCACAUGCGCGCAUACCCAAACGAGACUACGUAGCAUCCACGCCCCCCCCUCCAGACACACCUCGCUGCACCCCACCCCUCCACCGAGGGCGACGCUGUUGGCUGCUACGUAUUUAAGCUCCCGUAUACCUCUCGGCCUCCGUCUCUCCACUUGUACGCUCUCCUGACAAGAGCCACCGACUACAGCACUCGCUGUCUCCACCCACUAUAGUAGUGGAGACUGUAGCAGUAGUCCUGGUAGUAGUGGUGGAAGGGGGCGGCCCUCUGUCACGCCCGGCAAGAUGCCGUCAUCCUCAAAGAAGCAGAACGUGGUCACCUUCUCUGAAGUGCAUGAUCCGCUGUACGGCGUGUUGAGUCCGCUCUCCCCCAGCCCCCUCGUCGUGCGCCACGUCCAGUAUCCCUCGCUGCACCACUACUUCCUCUGCGAACGCUUUAAAGGCUCGCCGGCGGAGCAGUGGAUGGCGGAGGCGACGACGGUAUGGUCGCUGGAACGCCUCGUCAAGACGGCGGAGGAGGAGGGGUAUCAGCGCCAUAACUGGAACAAGGUGAAGGUAGACGUGAUGCUGCUUGGCACGUACUUUAAGUUCAAGCAGAACGAAGCAGCGCGUGCGGUGCUCCUCAGCACGCAGCCCUCACUGCUGCUCUACCACACGCCUACAGACGACUUCUGGGGCGAUGGCGGCGACGGUAAGGGUAAGAACGUGCUCGGCGUCGUGAACAUGGCGGUCCGCGCACGUCUACAUAGUGAGGAGGAACGGCAGAAGCAACGUCCGUCGGCCUCCGGCAGGCAUAGUAAGUCUGCCGCCGCCAAGUCCACCGCUCUCCCUGCCACUCGCACAUAGUAUGCGGGUCCGAGGACGCUGAAGGGCGGGUGCGCGCGUUUUCGAGGCGCCGCACCUCUUGUCGUGCUCCCUCAACACUUCACGGGCUUUCUUCCCUUUACUGCCGACUGCCUCUUACAUGUAUUGACGCGCUACCGGAGCCUCGCUGGCGUCUGUCCAUGGCAAAUGGGGGUACGUGCACGUGAAGCGGGGGGGGCUAUGAUGAUGUACAAUACGAGGUGGUGGUGGUGGUGGCGGGAUCGAUGUCCGCCCUGGCCCUAACGCGGCACACAUACGCGCUCUCUUUCUUAGGCGCGCAUUUUUCUGUUUUUUUUUUGCGCGUCGGUGUUUAAGCUUGUCGGACUGGGCAUGCCCUCCCCUCCCCUCUGCCGAUCUGUGUCAUCUCGGCAGCAAG
rnacentral:misc_RNA from 1 species